GACGAACGCUGGCGGCGUGCUUAACACAUGCAAGUCGAACGGAAAGGCCCUGCUUUUGUGGGGUGCUCGAGUGGCGAACGGGUGAGUAACACGUGAGUAACCUGCCCUUGACUUUGGGAUAACUUCAGGGAACUGGGGCUAAUACCGGAUAGGAUCUCCUGCUGCAUGGUGGGGGUUGGAAAGUUUCGGCGGUUGGGGAUGGACUCGCGGCUUAUCAGCUUGUUGGUGGGGUAGUGGCUUACCAAGGCUUUGACGGGUAGCCGGCCUGAGAGGGUGACCGGCCACAUGGGGACUGAGAUACGGCGCAGAGUCCUACGGGAGGCAGCAGUGGGGAAUAUUGCACAAUGGGCGGAAGCCUGAUGCAGCAACGCCGCGUGCGGGAUGACGGCCUUCGGGUUGUAAACCGCUUUCGCCUGUGACGAGGCGUGAGUGACGGUAAUGGGUAAAGAAGCACCGGCUAACUACGUG
rnacentral:rRNA from 1 species